CUUCAUUUCAGACUUCGUUAGAUUGGACUGUUUUGGAUGGUAAAAGUCCAGCUGGUAGACAGUCUUGGAAGGGGAAAGAAAGAGCAAGGACAGUUCUCUGCAGCCAAUCAAGUCAGAAACGGGCAUCCUGUGCUGCUCAGAAUUUUGGUAGGAAGAUGCCAGCCUGUGAAGACAAUCCUUCUUCAAUUUAACUGACUAAGGUUUUCCUGCAGAAGAGGUUCAAAACAUAUGACUGUUCUGCAGGCUGUAGAAGAAGCACGGUUCCAGCAUCUGCUCCUGGUGAGGCCUCAGGCUGCUUGCACUUGUAGUGGAAGAGGAAGGGGAGACAGUGUGUGCAGAGACCACACGAUGCAGAAACAAGAGCUGGCUCAGAUGAUGCACAGAGGAAGAACCAAACAGCAUCGACAGCCUCCUUCCCUUGAAAGGCUGUGAACUGAACUCACUUGAGCUCUUUUUUCUGGGUGGAAAGAUGAGUGCCUGUCUGGAUGCACAAUAUCUUCUAGGUCCUGUGCCUAAACAUCAUCUCCUGUUUGGCAGCAGGAGAUGCUGUGUUUAGAAACACAGCAAAAACUGGCUGGGCACGGUGGCCUACACCUGUAAUCCCAAUGCUUUGGGAGACCAAAGUGGGAGGAUUACUUGAGCUCAGCAGUUCAAGACUGGCCUGGGCCACAUGGUGAAACAAAAAUAUCAAAAAAUUAACCAGAGGUGUGGAAUGUCUAUAGUUCCAGCUGCUCAGGAGAUUGAGCAGGAGGAUUGCUUGAGCCCAGGAGCUGGAGGCUGCAGUGAGCUAUGAUUGAGCCACUGCACUCUAACCUGGGCGACAAAGGAGCAAGACUCUAUCUUAAAAACAAAAAACAAAAAACAACAAAACAACAACAACAACAACAAAAAACAAGCAGAAAAACCAAGUGCCACAUGCUCACAUGCCUCCUUUGUCCUCUCCUUUUAUUGAUAGAACAAGAGAUUAUAUUUGUCACAGGUCGGGGCUGAAGUAGUAGACAGG
rnacentral:lncRNA from 10 species